rnacentral:lncRNA from 1 species
CUGCCUCAGCCUCCCGGGUAGCUGGGACUACAGGCGCCCGCGACCACGCCCGGCUAAUUUUUUUUUGUAUUUUUUUUUAGUAGAGACCGGGUUUCGCCGUGUUAGCCAGGAUGGUCUCGAUCUCCUGACCUCGUGAUCCACCCGCCUUGGCCUCCCAAAGUGCUGGGAUUACAGGCGUGAGUAACCGCACCCGGCAGUAGUACCUACUUUUUAAAGUGUAAGCAAGGAAAGUUGGCCCGCACCUGUAGUCCCAUCUACCUGGGAGGCUGAGGUGGAAGAAUUGCUUGAGCCCAGUUGGUCGAGGCUGCAAUGAGCCUUGAUCACGCCACUGCACUCCAGCCUGGGCAACAGAACAAGACCCUGUCUCAAACAAAAAAGUGUAUGUAAGAAUAAAAAUUAAUAGAUUAGGCACAGGAUGGGUGUUUAAUUCUCGGCAAUCACCACUAAGUUUUCAUACUGAGGCUUAUUCAUUCCAUGGGCAAAACAUUGCGCUAUGUGUGGUGCCUGGGGUGGGCUCCAAAUUCCAGUCCUCUCCUCGCUUGCGAUAGCUGUGUGAUCCAUUCCUAAGUUUCCUUAUUUGUCCACAGAGCGUACACAGGGUUUUUAUGAAAACUAGAUCAGAUAAUCAGACACAGUUAAAAUAGCACGCGCUCAGUAAAAUUACAUAUUAGUGGAAGAGACAAGCCUUGAAUAAAUCGCCUUUCGGGGAGUAUGACCCCCUCCCCGAAACCCACUCAGGCGCUGCUCGCUCGCACGCCCACUGAGCUCGGAGCGGAGCCCGAGCCCUUUCCCAGCACACAGGGUUCAUUUCCAGACUGAAAGACAUCCCAGAGACAACUCCAGAGGCCAAGGCGGGUCGGCUUCCUGCGUGGGCCCAGCGCCGGGCACUGAAAGGUGAAGGCGCUUCUUCCGCUCGGAGGAAAGCCUCUGGCGGUUCUCGCUUCGCGGGCUCGGGAUGGACACGCGCGUAGGGCUGGGGAGGUGACGCGCGGACAACGCCGGGGCGAGCAAACUACAACUCCCAGGCAGCUGUGCGCCACGCGGGCGGCCUACUGUCGGGUGUGGCCGCGAGGGGCGGCCUAUAUAAGCUCUUGCUCGCGGCUUCAGCGCCCUUUCUCCCCGCCGCAUUCCCGGUGUCGACUUACUAGCUGCAAGCCUCUGCCUGCCUUCCUGCGCGCCGUUCCCCGCUAGUCGCUGCUGCUGGCGCGCACUCGCCGGGUUUUUCCUCCCACGGCCUCGAGAUGGUGGUGAAUGUGGCACGGAGGAGCCGGGCCUUCCAACCCGGUGGGCCCGAGCUCCGAAAGGCCCCCUCGGCAGUGAGAGGGGCGGGAGCCCGCGGGGGCCGCGCCCUUCUCUCGCUUCGGACUGCGCAACGCUGCGCUCUGGGCUGACAGGCGGAUAAAACGGUCCCAUCAAGACUGAGAAAAAGCACACCAGCUAUUGGCACAGCGUGGGCAGUGGGGCCUACAGGAUGACUGACUUAGUCUACAGAGAUCCCGGCGUACUUAAGCAGGUAGUAAUGAUGGACAGAUGAAGACUCUUAAGAUGACAGAAGGUGAUUUUUCUGGUGAUCGAGGACUUCCGGGGUAAUGACAGUGAUGAAAUGCAGGGGACCUGGUUGCCCCCAAGUUUCCUGGCAGUGUGUGAUACUGAGGAGGUGAGCUUGUUUCUGGAGCUGUGCUUUAAGGUAAAGUUGAUCAGCUUAAUCCUCCUGAUCCCUUUCCCAUCGGAUCUGAACACUGGUCUUGGUGGUCGUAAAAGGAGGAAAAGUAAUAGUGAAGCUGGCCUAAAUGUUGUAAUCUGGUAUAUGGCAUGUGGGCUAGUUUCAGACAGGUUUCAGAGAUGGUUGGAUCUCUGAAAUUGUAAAAUGAAGUAUAAUCUUAGGCUAAGGGAAGGAUGCGUGUGAAGCUCUGGAGGUUGGUAUAGUAAUAGCUGACCUAUUACUGCAUUUGGGAGGGAUCUGUCAUAGCUUCCUUGCCUCUUAAUUAAGGGUGGUGUUUUUUUCUUUUAGAUUCAUGUUACAUGUAAAGCUGUCCUCAUUUGUGACUAUGGACCUAUGGAGUUGGGACAAUCUCUAUGGGAAGCAGAAGGCAAGGACCCCGGUCAUUUUAGGUAGAAACAACAGCAUGCUAAUGCAAAAAAUUAUGCAGUGUGCUACUGAACUUCAGAGGUGAUCAAUAAAAGAAGAAUAAAAAGACUAAUAAAAGUAUAUUUGUGUUUGUAUUUUUUUGUAGAGACCGAACUGGUCUCUU